GAUUAUUUAUUUGAAAGGCAAGGUGACAGGGAGAAACAGAUUGUCCAUCUUGUGCGCUCCACAAGUGUCCACAACACCCUGGGCUUGGGCAGGCCAAAGCCAGGAGCCAGGAACUCUGUCUGGGUCUCCUGUGUGGAUAACAGGAACCUAGGUGCUGGGACCAUCAUUGCUGCCUUUUCAGACACGGUAGCAGAUAGGUUAACACCAUAGGUUAAGCCACUGCUUAGAACUGUUGCAUCCCAUGUUGGACUGGUAGUUUUGAGUUCUGAGCGUUCCACUUCCAAUCCAGCUUCCUGCUAAUGUGCCUGGGAAGACAGUGGAUGAUGGCCCAAGUGGUUUGGCACUUGCCACUCAUGUGGGAGACCAGGAUGGAAUUCCGGGCUUCUAACUUUGGCCUGCACAAGCAGAUGUCUCGCUCGCUCGCUCGCUCUCUCUCUGCCUUUCUCUGUUGCUCUUCCUUUCAUCAAAUAGAUUAAUUAUCCAUCCAUCUUUGGAGGGGAAAAAGGUGGAAGAACCAGGAAUCAAGGCAGCACUCCAUGUGGGGGUGUGGGUGUUUAAGCAGCAGCUUAAAUUGCUGUACCAUAGCACUCAUUGUCCCCCUCACCCCUCCACAUGUCUUCUCAUUAUAGCUGUUUGUUUUGUCUUGAAAUCAUGCAUUGCAGGUCCUCGACUUUGUUCUUUUAAAAAUCCUUUGGCUAGUCUAGCUCCUUUUCCAUUUUCAUAUACAUUAUAGAAUCAAUUUGUCAAUUUCUACAGAAACAAAAAAUGUUCAGUUUUGAUUGGGAUGGGAUUGAAUAUACAGAUCAAUUUGGAGAGAACUUGAUACCUUAACAGUAUUGAGUUUUCUGAUCCAUGACCAUGUUCUAUUUGUUCAUACAAAUUUCUCUUGAUAUUUUGUCAUUUUCAUGAUAAUAGGCCUCCCAUAUGUUUUAUUAAAUUUAUGCCUACACGUUAUAUUUUGUGAAACAGUUGUAGAUUGUAGAAUUUUAAAGGCUUCAUUUCUACCUGUUCUUCCUAGAACACAGAAACUUUCUUGCUCUGUCUGGACUUUGUAUCCUACCUUUUUGAACUUAUUUGAGAGUUGUGGUAGCUGGUCUGGCAUUUUCUCCUUUGGAUUGUCUAGAAAUAAGCACCCUUUUACUUUGUUUCCCAUCUGGAUGCCUUUGUUGCUUGUUGCGCUCUGUUGUGCUGGCUGGGACUUCCAGUAGAACACAGACUGCAAAUGCUAAGAACAGACACUCUUGCUUUGCUCCUGAUCUAAACAGCAAACAUUCAGGUUUUCACAAUGAUUGUAGUUCUAACUGUAGAUUGUAGAUAGCUUUUAGGAUGAGGAAGUCUCAUUGUAAACCUAUUUUUCUAAAAGAUGAAUAGGUGUUAAAUUUUGUCAAGUGUUUUUUAUACAUUUAUUAACUAAUGUAUCAUCUACCUUCAAGAAGUAUCGGAACCAUUUAUGAAUAGCUCCAUUCAUGAAAUGACUCCAUUUCUCCUCCAUUGUGGUAAACAUUUUACCUGUACUUAUGUUUAACCCCACCACUAACUUGUACUCUUUGUUGUUGUUUUAAACUGUUAGUUAACAUUUUGAAGGAUUUAAAAAUGAGGGGAAAUUGUGUCUUAAGGGAAAAGGCCCAAGCAAGGCCUCUUUUUUCUCUUUUAAAAUUUUAUUUUAUUUAUUUGAAAGGCAGGUAGACAGAUAGGCACUCCAGUAUGGUUGCAAGUAUCCAAACAGCAUCUUUUAACUACUAUGCCAAAUGCCUGUCCUGGAAAAUUUUCAAUUUCUUGUAGUUUUUUUUUUUUUUUGGUUCAAAUUUCUGUGUCAUAAUUUUCCUUUUUCCUAAAGAGCUCUUUAUCUGCUGUUUGGGAAUUUUCUCAGAGUUUUUUAUUAUCUGAAAGAAUAAUUUGCCUUCAUUUUUGAAUGAUUUUUUUUUUUCUAGACGUGGAAUUCUAGGUUGGUAUUUUUCCUUUAGGAUUUUACGUUUGUUUAUUUUGACUCUGGUCAUUCCUGUUUUGAUAUGUCUGGCUGCUUUCACGACCCCUUUGUCAUUAGUUUUCAGCAAUUUCAUUGGGUGCGUUUGGGUGUGGUUUUGUUCAUGUUCUGCUUGAGUUUCACUGGAAUUCUUAAACGUGGUGCUUUUUGGUUUUAUUCAGAUUUGAAGAAAUUUCAGCCAUUAUUUCUUCAAUAAUUUCCUGUUCCCUACUUCUCUCCAAGUACACAUUAGCCUGCUUGAUAUUUUCUUUUUUUCUUUUUUUUUUUUUUUGACAGGCAGAGUGGACAGUGAGAGAGAGAGACAGAGAGAAAGGUCUUCCUUUGCCGUUGGUUCACCCUCCAAUGGCCGCCGCGGCCGGCGCGCUGCAGCCAGUGCACCGCGCUGAUCCGAUGGCAGGAGCCAGGAGCCAGGUGCUUUUCCUGGUCUCCCAUGGGGUGCAGGGCCCAAGCACCUGGGCCAUCCUCCACUGCACUCCCUGGCCACAGCAGAGAGCUGGCCUGGAAGAGGGGCAACCGGGACAGAAUCCGGCGCCCCGACCGGGACUAGAACCCGGUGUGCCGGCGCCGCAAGGCAGAGGAUUAGCCUAGUGAGCCGCGGCGCUGGCCUUUUUUUUCUUUUUAAAGAUUUAUUUAUGUAUUUGAAAGUCAGAGUUACACAAAGAGAAGAGGGGCAGAGAGAGAGAGAGAGAGUGAGAGAGAGAGAGAGGUCUUCUAUCUGCUGGUUCACUCCCCAAAUUGCUGCAACAGCCAGAGCUGCACUGAUCUGAGGCCAGGAACCUGGGGCUUCCUCCAGGUCUCCCACGUGGAUGCAGAGGCCCAAGGACCUGGGCCAUCUUCUGCUGCUUUCCCAGGUCACAGCAGAGAGCUGGGUCGGAAGUGGAGCAGCCAGGACUUGUACCAGCACCCAUAUGGGAUGCCAGCGCUAUAGGCAGUGGCUUUACUUGCUAUACCACAGUGCCGGCCCCUUGAUAUUUUCUUGUUGCUUCUUCAAUUCUCCAUUUCCCCCCCUACUAUUUUGUGUUUUCUGCUGGCUAGUGGUCAUAUUUUCUUCUGUCGUCCUAGUAAUAUCGUCAUUAUUUUAAAAAUUUGAUUAGAUUUUUAAAAAUUGUUUAUUUGAAAGGCAGAGUUAGAGAGAGAUAUCUUCCAUUUGUUCACUCCCCAAAUGGCUGCAGUGGCCAGGGCUGGGCCAGGCUGAAGUCAGGAGCAUCAUCCAGGUCUCCCACGUGGGCACAGGGGCCCAAACACUUGACCCAUCUUUUGCUUUCCCAGGCGCAUUAGCAGGGAGCUGGAUCAGAAAUAAAGAAGCUGGGAUAUGAACUGGUGCCCAUAUGGAAUGCUGGCAUCAUGGGCAGUGGCUUAAGCGGCUAUGCCACAAUGCCAGCCCCUUGGAUAUAUUUUUGGAUAGAUGAUGGACACCACAAAUUUUAUAUCAAUGUUGCAUGCAAAGUUGAUUUGGGGAUAUCUUUAGUGUUGGAAAACUAUUACCAUACUUGCUUGCUAAUUUGGGGAUAGAAUCUAGUUUGUAAAUAAUUUCUCAUCUCAUUUAUGAUGGUGUUGUUUUACUGUCUUCUCUUAAGAAACUUGAAGAAAAAAGAUGUGAGCUUUGCACUCAACAGUGUCACUGUUUACUGUGCUUUCAGGGAACCCCUAGUUCACAUACCCCUGAACAUAACAGUUGUCUACCAGAGUGUGCAUGGGGAUCCCAGGCUCUGUCUGCUUCUUACUUCCUUUUGGAUUUUUAUUGUGGGUACCCUAUGCCUUUAAAGAAAAUUACUUCGUUCCCGUCUCACCGGGCUUUUGGGAUAACAGAGGAGGGAAGAACACGUCCAGUGACUCCACAGCCCACUUCAGAACUUAGAGGGAAGAGCAGUCCUGGUGUGAACACCCCAGUUUGAAUGGGGCAGGGCUGGGGAGGCAGCGGCUCCAUUUCCUGCCCCUACUUGGAGGGCUGAACCAGCUUACUCGAAUCAGUUCCAUGGCAGUUGACAGAGAUCAGUCCCAGACCCUGUGACUUGAGUAUACGCUUUCCAAGCUGUGUUCUUCUAACUGGGAAUGGGACAAGUAAGUUUGGAGGAUGUGGUGGGGUGGCUUCGCCCAGUUAGCUGCGUCCUGAGAAGGUUCUCGCUGUCCAGUGCAUGGAUACCUUGGGAUGUCAGGGGCCCCACUGUUGGCAAGAAGCCUGUUGUGUGAGAGUCCCUGCGAUGAUGGUGUUCCCUCAGUCAGGAAUGAGAGUAACGUGAGAGGAUUUCACAGUUGGACAUGUGUGUAUUGUAGAUAUAACGGCACAAUUUAAACUGGAGAUUUUAUUACGUGCGUGUAUCCUUUCAAGAUUCCACAACACAGCAAAGAUAUCUUUGCUACCUUGUUGGAUAGCAUCACACGUACCCUUCGCUAAUUUGAUUCCGUAAUAUACUUCCACACAAGCUUCUUCCCGGAAGAGAGUUUUUCUGUAGAGAAUCCAGCCCUGAAGAAUGGAUUUAGCUAAUUCUAUAGUGUCACGCGUGAUGGUAAAACUGAAAGUGGUAAGGCAAAAUAAAUACGUUCUGUAACUGUAUCAUGGGAUUUUUUUUUCCCCAAAGGGAAAUAUCCUCAGGUUCUUAGAUUUUAGGUGACUUAUAUCUGCUGUGUGCUCUAGAAGACACUUGGUUAAUGCCUGGGUUUCCUGAAAGCCUCAACCAAGCUGACAGCCAGCAUCCGUCAUUCGGCUCUCCACUCCACCGACGUGGGUAAGAACCAGCACAGCUUUGCUGCUGCUUGUAAAAUGGGAUUGAGCUACAGUGAUGCAAAGCGUGGGGUCGUCUCAUAAACACAUGUGGGGUUCCUGUGUAGCUGACAUUUCAGGCAGGGUAGGAGAGUGGGUGGUGUGCGCCUCCUCCCGCCCACAUGUCUGAGAUGACGUCAACACCCAGGACUGCCUCUGCCUUCCGCCCCCAGCUGUGUCUGUGUGGAACGUCAGCUGUGUUUGUGUGGAAUGUCAGCCGGCACUUCCUAGCACGAAGUGGCUGAGGCGGUGGUGGCAAAGCUGUAUUCUGUUACCAAAUCCCGUGUGCUCGUUCAUGCAAAGUGGUGAGAAAAGGAAUUUUUGAGCCAGAACUGGAAUGAAUGGUUUUCCCUGGAACUACGGCACAUUUUUUAUAGAGAGAACAUGGUGCUCUUUGACUUACACAUAGCGGCUUCCUGUCUACCAGGGACCCUUUGGCUUGUUAAAAGCUCCUUGGAUCUACUUUAAAUUGUAGCCUGACGAAGCACUCUAAUGGUGUCUGUGUGAUGGCAAAGCCGGGGAUGCAACGGCGUGGCUGGCAGAGCUGGUGCUCGGGACCACGUCUUCCUGCCCAAGGCAGGUGUAGGUUGGCAUCCGCCAGGUUGAAGCCCGGGCUCGUAACCUCAGCCUUUCUGUUCUCUGAACUUGAGGCUGAAGAGAACCGACAUGCUGUCAAGCUGUUUGUUGGUGCUACAGCGCAUGAGAGGGAAGGCUGCAACUCAGCCCUUCUCCUGUGGGCAGGCCCCAGGACCUCACCACGUUUAUGAAAGCCAGCCAUUGGAAGUAGCUCAGGGCAGAUGGGCAGUGCCUGUGUGGAGAGUUUGUUUCCUAUUACAGCUGUCUGGCUCACUUUGGCCUGCCUUUACAACUGCUCUAGGCUUGUUUCUUAUUCUGUAAAGCGAAUGGAUUGAAAUGGUACCAACUGGGGCCAGCGCUGUGGCAUAGUGGGCUAAGUCUCCACCUGCAGCACUGGCAUCCCAUAUGGGUGCCGGUUCGUGUCCCAGUUGCUCCUCUUCUGAUCCAGCUCUCUGCUAUGGCCUGGGAAAGCAGUAGAAAAUGGUCCAAGUCCUUGGGCCCCUGCACCUGCAUGGGAGACCUGGAAGAAACUCCUGGUCCCUGGCUUCAGAUUGGCCCAGCUUCGGCUGUUGUGGCCAUUUGAGGAGUGAACCAGCAGGUGGAAGACCUCUCUCUCUCUCUGUCUCUCCCUCUCUCCAUCUGUACCUCUGCCUCUCAAAUAAAUAAAUAAAUAAAUGGAAGGAACCUGGCAAUGAUGGCUGAGAUCUUUGGGGAAAAAAAAGAAAUGAUACAUAUUUAGGACAAACAGUAAUUUAGUUUUCAUGAAGCAAUAAUUUCUCAAAAGUUUUGGUCCUGCAUGCUUUGUUAGCAUUUCCCAGAAGAGCCAGUAGGAUGUUUUUGUAGAUGCAUUCAAAUAGGAGUUUUCACAAAGUUCACAGAAAAUACACAUCACAGCCAGUGCUGUGGCUCAAUAGGCUAAUCCUCUGCCUUGCGGCGCCGGCACACCGAAUUCUAGUCCCGGUUGGGGCGCCGGAUUCUGUCCCGGUUGCCCCUCUUCCAGGCCAGCUCUCUGCUGUGGCCUGGGAGUGCAGUGGAGGAUGGCCCAAGUGCUUGGGCCCUGCACCCCAUGGGAGACCAGGAUAAGUACCUGGCUCCUGCCAUCGGAUCAGAGCAGUGCGCCAGCCGCAGCGUGGCGGCCAUUGGAGGGUCAACCAACGGCACAAGGAAGACCUUUCUCUCUGUCUCUCUCUCUCUCAUUGUCCACUCUGCCUGUCAAAAAUAAAAAAAUAAAAAUAAAAAUAAAUAAAUAAAAAGAAAAUACACAUCAGAAAAUUGCAUGGAUUUAAAAAAAAAUUUGCUCCAAAAUUAACAUAUUUUAAUUUCAUUUUCCCGUGAGCUUUUUUAAGUUCCCUCAUGGGGGAGUAUGUCCUGAUGAACCAAUAGUAACUUGAAAAUGUCCUAAGUCACAGUGCAUUUAAUACACAUACAGAACAUAUAGCUUAGCACCACAGUCCACUGUAAGGUAUCUGUCGUUUACCCUCGUGAGAGCCGAGUUUCCCCGCUGUGGCUGCUCAGCGUUGCGAGAGGAUCGCGCCACACUGCCAGCCAGGGAAGCGAUCAGAACUCACAGUGCAGCCUCUACUGAACGUCUGCUGCUUUUGUCCCUUUGUAGAGUUGAAAAAUUCCAAGUUGAAUUCUUGAGUCAAGGACCAUCUGUGUGUGUGUGUGUGUGUGUGUGUGUGUGUGAGAGAGAGAGAGAGAGAGAGAGAGAGAGAGAGAGAGAGGCAAGGAGCUGGCUUAAGUGGUCCUGGAGGCUGAGAAGGCCCCUGACCUGCCAGAGAGAGAGAGAGAGAGAGAGAGAGAGAGAGAGAGGGGCGAGGAGCUGGCUUAAGUGGUCCUGGAGGCUGAGAAGGCCCCUGACCUGUGUGGUGUAGUUUCAGGAUGAGCCUGAAGGCCUGAGAAGCCAGAGAACUGGUGGUGUCGUUCCAGUCCACAGAUGGAGAAAAUGGGCGGUGCAGCUCAGCGGGCGGGCAGGUGAAUCCAUGCUGCCUCCUGUUGGUUCCAGGCAGGCCCUCAGAGGAUUGGAGGCUGCGCCCCACACCGGAGAGGGCAGCCCGCUGCACUGAAUCCAGCAGUUCAGGUGCUGUUCUGUUGUGGAAACACCCUCCCGGGCACACCCCGAAAUAGUGUCACCAGCUAUCUGGGCCUCCUGUGACCUAGCCAAGUUGACACAAGAAUUAGUGUCACGUACGCCUUUAUGUGUUUAAAACUGUCGAGGACCCUGGUUGGUCUCAGCCGAGUCGUUGCCUGGCCAGAGGUGGACAUGAGGUUGCCGCACCUGCUCUGCGUGCUCCAGUCUUCCUGCCCACUGCGCAUGGGCAGGAUGGCCUGCAAGCAGAUCUGUUACCCAGAAAACUCCCCAGACAAGCACCCCAAACCCUCCUGAUGUCUGAGGAGGAAGGCAGGAGACUUGGUGUCCACCAGGUCCAGGGUGAAUCCACUACUUGAGUCGUGAGCCAGAGCCACGUAGUCUUCUCUUCAGAUGACCUCUUCCAAAAGGGCCACAAAAGUGAAAUAUAUCUGCCCACAUUUAAUGUGUAAAGUAGCUUUCAGUGAAUACUUGGAAAAUAUGCAGAUCACGCAUCCAUACCUGCACGAGCUGUAUUUUUCACAGCAGCAGAACUCAGUUAAAGGCAGCUGCCCGUAGUUACUCUAAGGGGUUUAAGAUAAAAUGUCCUCUAGGCAGUGUUCUCUCUCUCUCCCUCCCUCUUUCAGAUAAAUUUAUUUAUUUGAAAGGCAGAGUUACGCAGAGAGAGCAAGCGAGAGGUGUUCCUCCGCUGGUUCACUCCCCAAAUGGCCACAACAGCCAGAGUUGGGCCAAUCUGAGGCCAGGAGCUGGGAGCUUCUUCUGGGUCUCCCACGUGGGUGCAGGGGCCCAAGGACUUGAGCCAUCUUCCACUGCUUUCCCAGGCCACAGCAGAGAGCUAGAACGGAAGUGGAGCAGCUGAGUCUCAAACCAGUGCCCAUAUGGUAUGCCUGCACUGCAGGUAGCUUUACUGGCUAAGCCACAGUGCCAGUCCCCAGUUCUUCUCUUAGUAUAAGUGCUUGCCUUAUAUAUAAUAUAAUAGGCUUGCCUAUUACCUUUAUUAAAGUUUGUAUAUUACAUUUUUUUAAAAAAUAUUGAAGAUACUGAGAAAUUUUUUUCUGUGGUUUACCUAUUUUUAAAGAUUUAUUUAUUUGAAAAAAAAAAAGAUUUAUUUAUUUGAAAGGCAGAAUUACAGAGAGAGGGAGAGACAGAGGAGAUCUUCCAUGUACCGACUCACUCCGCAAAUGGCUGUAAUAGUUGGGACUGGGUCAGGCUGAAGUCAGGAGUCAGGAACUCCAUCUGGGUCUCCCACAUGGAUGGCAGAGGCCCAAGCCCUUGGGCCAUCUUCCACUGCUUUCCCAGGUGCAUUAGCAGGGAGCUGGAUCGGAAGUGGCGCCGAUAUGGGAUGUUGGCAUCACAGAAUGUUGCUUAACCCUUUGCAACAUAAUGCCAGCCCUACAAAUUUCUUAAGACAACUGAAUUCUCCCAUUUGUUUCUGUUCAGAGCUGCAUCAUUUUGGUUGAAUUUUAUAAAGAAAAUUCUGCAUCACACAGAUGCAUGGUUGGAGAAUGGAUGCCUGUUAGAUAAUUGUGGUCAGUCUUUGAUACUGCACUAGACGUUGACAGUGGGGUUGCUUACAGUUGUUUGCCAUGUGGACUGUGAAACCCCACGACUGGAGUGUUUGUUACACCACGAUCCACGGGUGUGUUUGCAUGCUGGAUGCGUCUUGGCUAUGCGUGGUUUGUAACCUUAUGCCUUGUUCAUUGGAAAGUAUUGAUUCUUUGAGUCAUGCAGAUCUUCUAAAUGGCAGCACAUUUAGUUAUCCAACAUUUAAAAAUUACAUUUAAUAUCACCAAUCUCACACCGUUUGAUACUUGCUUUCCAAAGUUCCAGUUUUUGCUCGAGAGUUCAAUUUUAUCUUAGCAAGAAGUACUGUCAGUUACUCCUGAGCUGAAGGACUUGUUGAUUAGAGGAGAGGUCUGCCUGAAAUGCUGUCUGAACAGCCAGACUGCCUCCCAGCCGUCCUUGCAAACGGGGUGAGUGUUCCAGGAAGAGAAGUGACAGGUUCACCUUGAACCGUACCGCAAGCACAGGGCUUUUCCCGGAGAGACUCCUGACUGCAGUAGCAGCAGGGGCACUUUGUGCAUUUGUCCCAUUUUAGAUGGCCAAAAAGACAGUCUCGAGGGUCAAGCUUUAAAAAAUAUUAACCAUUUUAUUCCUUCCUCAAGGACUUUCUUAAAGGAGACCGGUCUUUUAUUGCCCAUGAGUGUGAGACCGUGAGGGGCUCGAUACCUGGGACUCCCUGCUGAGGCCCCAGUGGGGUUUCUCACUGCUGUGUCUCCACCAUCUGUGCAGGUGUCAGCCAGUGAAAGAGGCAGACGACGUGUGAGGACAGUCGCGGACAUCCUGACAACCUCAUGAACCUGCGUGUCGUGGGUACCUCCAGGGGUCCCUGAGCCACUUGGAAGCCCGUGGCAGUUCCGUCCAAGCCACCAGCAGUGCUGGGAUGGAGGAGGAGGAGUGUGUCUGCGUUGGGCAGAGCUGCAUGACAUGGUAAGCCAGUACUGUCCCCAUGAGCGAUGGGAGGCUUGCAGCGAAUUUUGAUCUGUAAGCUGGAGGAAGGUUCUCGAGCAGCCACACCGCUUGGGAGCAGUAGGUGGCCAGGGCCCCACAGCGCGUGGUCCGUGGUGAAGCCUCUGGCACCGCUCCCACCAGCCUGGGCUGAUCCACUGCUGCCGAUCAGCUCUGAGACCACCUGUGCCCGUAACCAACCCCGGCACAGCCCACCCUCCUCCACCUGGCGCCUUGGGGACCACGUGCCCUUGUCUCCCCCCGCUUUCUCCUCACACCCACUGGUCUUUCACUGCCCCGUGCUCCUGCAGUGUCGCCUCCUUGACUUGCCCCAUAGACUAGGAACUUGACAUUGACUUUCAGCAUGGAGUGUGUGCCCGCUGGACCUGAGAUUCAUUCACAGGAGAGCAGGAGCUCUGGCUGUAUGCGCUGCCUCAGAGGUCAGUCCUGUGCUAUGAAAGGGACGUCGUGCAGCAGAGACCUGGCCUGUGUCUCACAGCCCCACUGGCCCGAGGGCUCGGCCCACAGCAGCGGCUCAGGGCUAAUCAGAACUCCAUCCAUGGUGCUACUUCCGAUGCCCAGCAUGCCUCACGCCAGCCUGACCCCCACAGCUGCCCACAAGGUCUGUCCUGUCUGGAUGCCUCCAUCUGUCUCCAUGUACUGGAGCAGCCUGGGUGCCCUCCCCUCACUGCCCCCCACCCCUGUCUGGCCAGAUAUGUGGUUUCUUGUUGGUUCAGGAGGGUCUUUGUUUUGACAACCAUAACUUUUAAGAAGCUAGAUGCGGUGUUUUUGGCAGGAAAGGCCAGGGGAAGCGCUGAGUUUUGACAGCAGGUGCCUGGGUGACGGCGACACAGGGAACGGCCGGUCCAUGUCUGAGUGCAAAGUCCAACCAGGAAAGAGCUCAGGGCACUUCUGGCUGCGGCAGGGGAGCCCUCUACUGAGGGUUGCUGUGCUGAUGGUCUGGGUGUGCACGGGUAGCAUAUUCUUGCCCUAAAGGAGGAAGAGACAGCAUGUUCAAAGGCAUCAUGUUUCCAAGCUCCCCGGUUACUGGGGCCUGAAAUCCCUUUGUUAGCAAUCCACUGCUAAGCCUGCUGUCUCCUCAGGUUCCUCCUCCACCUUUUUUUUUUUUUUUUUUUUUAAAGAAUUUAAAGGAGUAUUAGGUAGAGAGAGAAAUCUUCCAUCCACUGAUUCACUCCCUAAAUGGCUGUAACAACCAGGACUGGCCAGGCUGAAGCCAGGAGCCUGGAACUCCAUUUGGAUCUCCCAUGUGGAUGGCAGGAGCCAAAGCACUUGGCCAUCAUCUGCUGCCUUCCCAGGUGCAUUAGCAGGGAGCUGGAUUAGAAUUGGAGCAGCCGGGACUUGAACUAGCACCGGUUCCAAGUAAUUGCAUUUUUACAAGGAGACAAGGGGGCUGGCAUUGUGAUAUAGUGGUAAAGCUGCCACCUGCGAUGCUAGCAGCCCAUCUGGGUGCCUAUUUGAGACCCAGAUGGAAUUCCUAGCUCCUGGCUUCUGGCUGGCCCGGUCAUGACUAUCAGGGCCAACUAGGAGAGUGAACCAGUGGAUGGAAAAACCUUUCUCUCUCUGUAACUCUGCCUUUAAAAAGUAUGCAGUUCCUCUCAGAAACCCUGAAUAACUAACUGAAACUUCUGCUAACAAGUUAGUGUCUGGCACCAGCUGCAUGCAGAGUGGAGCUGCCUGGGGGGCAACCUGUGGAGUUGCUGGCGCAAGGGCAGACGAGCAGGCUCCGGAGUGCGGGCUCAGGUUCCAGGCCCAACGCCUGAAUCUCUGAUUGAAGAAUAUGGCUGUUACAUGUUGGUGACUCAUGCUGAGUGUCUCAAACGGAAUCUCACGAAGCCGUCAUCCUGACUGGGGAGGUAGGAAGUCUCCUUGGAGAAAGUGGCUUUGCCCUGCCCUGGCCAGGGGAGUGCGAUCUGGAAGCAAGAACGGCACGUGGGAGCCCUUGGGAGACUGACAGGUGUGUCUUAGUGCCGGUGCACAGGGGACACGACCAGGACUGGGGGUGGGGGUGGGGUGAGCCCCCAGAAUGGCAUGGCCAGGCUGAGCUGCUCACCCCAGGAACCCACACGCCUCCAAGGGCCUAGAGCAGAAGGGGAGACGAAUUCCCGCCGUGGGACUGUCCUUUAGGCU